CCAGACUCCUACGGGAGGCAGCAGUGGGGAAUAUUGCACAAUGGGGGGAACCCUGAUGCAGCGACGCCGCGUGGGUGAAGGAGUAUUUCGGUAUGUAAAGCCCUAUCAGCAGGGAAGAACAAUGACGGUACCUGACUAAGAAGCACCGGCUAAAUACGUGCCAGCAGCCGCGGUAAUACGUAUGGUGCAAGCGUUAUCCGGAUUUACUGGGUGUAAAGGGGGCGCAGACGGCGAUGCAAGCCAGGAGUGAAAGCCCGGGGCCCAACCCCGGGACUGCUCUUGGAACUGCGUGGCUGGAGUGCAGGAGGGGCAGGCGGAAUUCCUGGUGUAGCGGUGAAAUGCGUAGAUAUCAGGAGGAACACCGGUGGCGAAGGCGGCCUGCUGGACUGCAACUGACGUUGAGGCCCGAAAGCGUGGGGAGCAAACAGGAUUAGAUACCCCAGUA
rnacentral:rRNA from 1 species